UACAGAGGUCUCAAGCGUUGUUCGGAUUCAUUGGGCGUAAAGGGCGCGUAGGCGGCCUGCUAAGUCGAACGUGAAAUCCCUGGGCUCAACCCAGGAACUGCGUCCGAUACUGGUUGGCUUGAGGUUGGGAGAGGGAUGCGGAAUUCCAGGUGUAGCGGUGAAAUGCGUAGAUAUCUGGAGGAACACCGGUGGCGAAGGCGGCAUCCUGGACCAAUUCUGACGCUGAGUGAGCGAAAGCCAGGGGAGCAAACGGG
rnacentral:rRNA from 1 species